UACGUAGGGGGCUAGCGUUGUCCGGAAUCAUUGGGCGUAAAGAGCGUGUAGGCGGUCCGGUAAGUCCGUUGUGAAAGUCAGGGGCUCAACCCUUGAAUGCCGGCGGAUACUGUCGGGCUAGAGUCCGGAAGAGGCAAGUGGAAUUCCCGGUGUAGCGGUGAAAUGCGCAGAUAUCGGGAGGAACACCUAUGGCGAAGGCAGCUUGCUGGGACGGUACUGACGCUGAGGCGCGAAAGCUAGGGGAGCAAACGGG
rnacentral:rRNA from 1 species